AGGACGAACGCUGGCGGCGUGCUUAACACAUGCAAGUCGAACGGAAAGGCCCUUCGGGGUACUCGAGCGGCGAACGGGUGAGUAACACGUGAGUAAUCUGCCCCUAGCUCUGGGAUAGCUCCGGGAAACCGGGAUUAAUACCAGAUACGACCACUUUAGACAUCUGUUGUGGUGGAAAGAAUUUUGGCUAGGGAUGAGCUCGCGGCCUAUCAGCUUGUUGGUGAGGUAACGGCUCACCAAGGCGACGACGGGUAGCCGGCCUGAGAGGGCGACCGGCCACACUGGGACUGAGACACGGCCCAGACUCCUACGGGAGGCAGCAGUGGGGAAUAUUGCGCAAUGGGCGAAAGCCUGACGCAGCGACGCCGCGUGGGAGAUGAAGGCCUUCGGGUUGUAAACCCUUUCAGCAGGGACGAAGCGAAAGUGACGGUACCUGCAGAAGAAGCGCCGGCUAACUACGCGCCAGCAGCCGC
rnacentral:rRNA from 1 species